rnacentral:misc_RNA from 1 species
GAUGAAGAACGUAGCGAAUUGCGAUAAGUAAUGUGAAUUGCAGAAUUACGUGAAUCAUCGAAUCUUUGAACGCAUAUUGCACUCUCUGGUAAUCCGGGGAGUAUGCCUGUUUGAGGGUCAGUAAAUAAUAAUUAUCAUGAAUCUUUUGAUUUAUGGAAUUGGGCUUUUAUUUCGAUAGAUCUAUGGCCUUAAAUUUACGUUAUGGGCUUGUCAUAUAAAAUCCAAUUUAAAGGAGCAAUUAAACAUUCUCAUUAGCGCGGAUUUUUACAAGCUGUUAUGAUCUUUGGUUGCUUUCAGCAUUUUUACGAGUGCGAAACCAAGAUCGUAAGCUUACUCUAACAAUGACCUCAAAUCAGGCAAGAAUACCCGCUGAACUUAAGCAUAUCAAUAAGCGGAGGA